AUCUUAGAAUAUCAGAGUUGGAGGAGACCUCGGGGGGUCAACUAGUCCAACUCCCUGCUCAAAGCAGGACCAAUUCCCAACUAAAUCA